rnacentral:rRNA from 1 species
UACGAAGGGGGCUAGCGUUGCUCGGAAUCACUGGGCGUAAAGGGUGCGUAGGCGGGUCUUUUAAGUCAGGGGUGAAAUCCUGGAGCUCAACUCCAGAACUGCCUUUGAUACUGAAGAUCUUGAGUUCGGGAGAGGUGAGUGGAACUGCGAGUGUAGAGGUGAAAUUCGUAGAUAUUCGCAAGAACACCGGUGGCGAAGGCGGCGACCUGGUCCGAUACUGACGCUGAGGCGCGAAAGCGUGGGGAGCAAACAGG